UUGAAAGAAGCCAAAAAGAGGCAUGUCACUGUUAAUGAUAGAACUGAAAUUUAUUUCCUUUCGAG
rnacentral:tRNA from 1 species